ACACCAUGAGACACAACAACACAGUGCAACGUUGUGGGAAAAGCACAAGUUCCUUGAAUUCAAAAGUAACUAAAAAAUGACAUUAUAUUGCUAGAUAAGCCUUUUUUCAUAGAUGUUGACUCCAGCAGAUCUCAAGCUUUUUUUUCAAUGUCAUUUCACCUGCAUUCUCUCCAAAGAGAGGGAAGUCAUGACUGAAAGACCUUCCCAAAUCUCACCAUCUCUGCCCAUCACCCAGAUAAUUUCUGUCCCUGCUUGUUAAUGUCCUUUCAUCUGCAAGAAGCACCCAACAAGCUUCAUUAUUUACUUUUUUUCCCUUUUGUGUGCUGCUCAGCAUGGCUUUGGAGUACACCCUGCACUCACCCUAGCAUGUAAAGUGAUUCAGCUUCCAAAAAGCUGGUCUUCUGAUAACAGGCAACAAGUUUGUCCUGGUCCAUAUCCAGGGAAUUACUUCCUUACAGAUGCAGUUGCUGGGUUCUAACGGAAAACAUGCCAAACUGCUCAGCAAACCAAUCUGCUCUUCCCUCAGAUCCUUCUAUUGCUCCUGUGCAGUGUUUAUUGCACCAUUUCCAUGGGAGCCAUAUCAGAUUACUCAUGGUGUGACUUAAUCCAUUCCUGGCUGCCAAAACUGGGAUAAUGCUGUAUCAUCACACUUGCAGCUAACUAGGCCUAAUGGCUACCCCAGGUUAAGUCUUUGAUGAGGGUCUUCUGUCUGCUACUACUUCACCAGGGCUGCUCUUAGUUAAAGGGGUAGGUCUGAAUGGCUCGAAGAGGAGAUGUGUGAACAGAAAACAGCACUCAGACCUUGGCUUCCUGACUAUCUGGCUUGGUAGAUAGGUAUGAAUGUUUUAGAUGUUUUUUUUUUUUUUAAAGUUAUUUGUUUAAAACUCAAGUCUUGCAUUUUGUGGUUCCCUUUUCUGCAAAUGUUAUAGCUCGCUGUACUUCAUAUGAGAACUUGUUUAAUACAACAAAGAGAUAGUGUUUCCUGCAUGUGGAUGAGAGAAUAUUUUCCAUCUGUCAAUAAACUGCUUUG
ensembl:lncRNA